rnacentral:rRNA from 1 species
GACAGAGGGUGCAAACGUUGUUCGGAAUUACUGGGCGUAAAGCGCGUGUAGGCGGCUAAGUAAGUCGGGCGUGAAAUCCCACGGCUCAACCGUGGAAGUGCACUCGAAACUGCAUAGCUAGAGUCCUGGAGAGGAAGGUGGAAUGGCUUGGUGUAGAGGUGAAAUUCGUAGAUAUCAAGCGGAACACCGGUGGCGAAGGCGGCCAUCUGGACCGCAACU